AGUUGAUGCCAACGGCUGUGAGUUCCUUGCAUGUGGACCGCCUUCCCAGUGAGGUAUCCAUUCGAAUGUGACGGUAUUUGUUUUACCGGGUCCCGUCCUGAAACCAGAACGAGCCAGCCACGCCCAAUAUAGUUGAAAUCAUAGCCAGCCAAAUGUGUCAACAGACAAUCAUACUUCGUUUUAGUCUCUUUAUUUUUAGCAGAAAUUCAGCAACAGUAUCUAAAUUCACGUGUCUUAAAAAUUACUUUUAAUUUUCAUCAACGAAGGAGGCAAAUCAGAUGAGAUCGACGUUUGUAAGUCAGAUUGUACUACAAAACCUCGUAAUACCUCAGCUGUUUUGCAUAAUAUGACAAUCCAAGGUUACCUCUUUCGUAAAUGUUACUAACAGUUUGUGUUAGUUUUUAUAUUUUCACAUGUUAUUUGAUAACUAAAAUUGCUUUUGUAACUGCUGCAGUCAUUACAGUUUCCAUAGAUACUUCUUGAUUUUGCUUCAAGCUGUGUAUUACAAUAAAUAAAUAUAGGU